GACGAACGCUGGCGGCGUGCUUAACACAUGCAAGUCGAACGGAAAGGCCCGGCUUUUGUGGGGGGCUCGAGUGGCGAACGGGUGAGUAAAACGUGAGUAACCUGCCCUUGACUUUGGGAUAACUUCAGGAAACUGGGGCUAUUACCGGAUAGGAGCCCCUGCUGCAUGGGGGGGGUUGGAAAGUUUCGGCGGUUGGGGAUGGACUCGCGGCUUAUCAGCUUGUUGGUGGGGUAGUGGCUUACCAAGGCUUUGACGGGUAGCCGGCCUGAGAGGGUGACCGGCCACAUUGGGACUGAGAUACGGCCCAGACUCCUACGGGAGGCAGCAGUGGGGAAUAUUGCACAAUGGGCGGAAGCCUGAUGCAGCAACGCCGCGUGCGGGAUGACGGCCUUCGGGUUGUAAACCGCUUUCGCCUGUGACGAAGCGUGAGUGACGGUAAUGGGUAAAGAAGCACCGGCUAACUACGUG
rnacentral:rRNA from 1 species